rnacentral:lncRNA from 7 species
GAUAAUUGCUUCCACUUGUGUGUUUCACAGAUGGCUUGAGUCAGUGUAACCACAUUUCUGCUGGAGGCUUUCUCUCCACUUUUGCUCACCCAGACCUACAGGCUGAGUUGCUGCCCUGGGCCCAUGUGUGCCGGCUUGCAAGAAUGCUGAACCUUGAUGUCUGAAGCAGAAAUGUUCCGCUAUGAGCUGUCAUUGAGAUACUCUUGAAGCAUGGAAGAAUGAUCAUGUUCGUCAUCACAGCUGGGUUUUCCAGUGUCUUAGGACUGAAGAUAGCCUGCACAGUUCAACUGUUGAGCGGGAGCAAAGAGUACAGAGUUCAUCUGAUAUAUUUUCAAGAAAUGAACAAACUGUUGGAAGUCUGCAGUGAAGAUGAGGAAGCAUUAAAAGUUGGUUCGACUAAAAGCUCAUGUGCCAUGUUUUUUCACUAGAUGAUUACAGUUCCAACAGUAUGGUGCAAAGAGGUGUAGAAAUAGUCAAGGUGGAGUCUGAGUACAGAUCUGCAGGAAAGUAGAGGUCUUGCUAUUUAGAAGUUAACAGAGCAGUGUAUAACCUCUAUGAAAGGGGGAAAAUUAAUCUAGUCAACUGAUUAUGAGUUUGACCUUAAUGUUAUUCAAGUUCUUAAACUGCUUUAAGGGGAAAGAAUAGUUCCAUACAUAAUGAUAAAGGUAGAACAAGGUACUGUGAAUUUACUAAAGAGAAGUUGUGCUCAACUAUGGGAAUGUGACUGAUCGAAGGCCCCUUUGCCUCAGCUGUGAUUAUAUAGCAGUUUGUGUAGCUGAACUUCAAAUAAGAUAAAUUUUGAUUAAAUAAAACAAUGAAAAUAUACUC